CCAACUUUCGCAAGUCCGACCAUUUUCAUUUUUGAUUCAGAAUACGGUUCAUGGCACAAGAAAAAAGAGGCAUGCAAUGGAGAAGUGGUUGUUUUUCUUUUUCCGUUAUUUUUUUUUUUGGCGGUAGGGCAAAUAAGCUGCUUAGGUUGUCAUGAUGGACAAUAAAGCUGCUCAAUCUUGUAGGCUAUAUCUCCUGCUUAAUCAAGAGGUAGAAAAAAAAAAGAUUGAUGGGUAGGGGUCAGCCAGUAAAUGGUGAUUUUAUUCACUGAUCAAG